rnacentral:tRNA from 3 species
GUCAGCGUGGUGUAGUGGUUAUCACGUCUCCUUACACGGAGAAGGUCGCCGGUUCAAUCCCGGCCGUUGAUA